GAACACCGUUGCUAUGGAGUAUGAACGGUUUAAUUUAGAUUACACGCCAGUUCAACCCGACCAUACAUAACGUUACCUUUUUAUGAUCAACGAACAUAACCAUAACUUAUAUGGCCAUAAGUUAAAGUUUGGAAGGCUGCCAGUGGGAGAAACAUCAGACACCAAAAUAAAAACAGGCUCUUCGUUAAUCUUACUUUCUUGAGUCUUACUUGUGUGAGUCUCUCGAAGCUUCUAGAAUAAAAUACAAGAAUAUAUUUAGUGCAUCAUGAUAUCUGAUACAUCAGAUGUCCAUGGCCUCAUGCGGCAUCUCGUCUGGAUAAAAAGUCAUGCUGGGAUUUUGGUAAUUUCCUAAUGAGUGCGACCUGCUGUACCCCACACACGUCACUCACAGAUUAAUCAGCGGUUAUACAGGCAUGUGCAGAUAAACCUACCAUGGCGAUGCAGGGCUCAGAUCCACUCCACACACUAUUGUUCUUCACAGUGUUGGGACUAGGCAGCCUUCUGGAUCUGCAUUCUACGAAAUGAAGUAUGGAUUGUCGAGAGACCCUUUUUCCACAAGUUCAGGAGCUACAGGCUGUUGUUGGAUGGAUAUAUCUGGAUUCGGGGAAUGUAGUGGCCUCUCAAGACCUUCAGAGGUGCUAUGGUGCCCCUGAUCUAUGAAUAGGAUAUUUUCCUUUCUGCUGAUCCGUGAUCUGCUGUAAGGAGCUCUCUGUCUCACGGUAAUCCUUACCUAACGUUUCCAUACAAUCGCAAUCCCACUUUCUCUUGCCAUGAGAUAAUGUCAUGAUAUCUGCAGCUAAAAUUAGCAUUUUAGCAACUUUUUCUGAAAUAUUGGUUAGUAAUAUAAAAGUCUCAAGUACUUACUUGACUAUAUUAAACCACUGUUGUUAUACAGAUGU